GCGGGGGUGGCGGAACUGGUAGACGCAAGGGACUUAAAAUCCCUUUUCCCUUCCGGGAAGUGAGGGUUCGAUUCCCUCCCUCCGCACCA
rnacentral:tRNA from 1 species